rnacentral:rRNA from 1 species
UACGUAGGGUGCGAGCGUUGUCCGGAAUUAUUGGGCGUAAAGAGCUUGUAGGCGGUUUGUCGCGUCUGCUGUGAAAAUCCGGGCUCAACCCCGGACUUGCAGUGGGUACGGGCAGACUAGAGUGCGGUAGGGGAGAUUGGAAUUCCGGGUGUAGCGGUGGAAUGCGUAGAGAUCCGGAAGAACACCGGUGGCGAAGGCGGCCCGCUGGGGUGGAGCUGACGCUGAGGCGCGACAGCGUGGGGAGCAAACAGG